ACCAGGCAAAGUCAUUUUGCAUAGAUUACACUGAUAGGAGAGUUCAAGAAAUCAAAUUCAUAGACAAAGUGUGAACUAGAAGGAACGAAGGAAGGAAGGAAGGAAGGAAGGAAGGAAGGAAGGAAGGAAGGGCAACUACCACUAUGUCUGCUGCCACCAAACACGAAUAAGCAGCCAAUAAUGUGGAUCAUCAGACAGGAAGAUACACAUCAACAGGGC